UGGUUUAAAAUCUACAGGGUGGUAGAUACCUGGAAGCUGAUUUUGCGGCCUGAUUGGAGGUACCUGCUCAUGUGGUCUCCAUCUGUGUUACAGCUUGAUUUCAGGAAUGACUAUCACCACAGUCAUUUAAAGAUCCUUAGAUAAUACCAUGACAACGUGCGAUGUGGAUUACUCUGUGAGGGAUGUCCAGGAACAGGACAUGCUAGCGUAAACAAGCCCAGCAAGAGUCAACAACAUCAAGAUGCAGAGAAAAAAGGCAAACAACAGACUCUGGUAUAUAAAUGAGAAUAUAUCUUGGGAGAAGAUUCCACUUCUUAGCUACUGGGAAUGCCGUGGCCUUAUUUUGUUUAGGUCUGCAAGAGGAAAUCAGUAGUCUGGCUUCUGAACUCCCAGAGGUGGACAAUGAGGACUGUUUAGAACAUGGGGAGGUUAAAUGAAUUGGAGUUUCUUGGAGACCUUGGAGGCAGGGCUGCAGGAUGUUUCUAUGUCUACCUAUAACAAAAAAUCUUGAAAAGUUGAGGGGAUUAAUUUCUUUGCAUGUCACAGUGACAUGAUUAGGAGUCAAUGAUUAAAUUGAAGAAAAGUAAGUUACAGUUUAAACUUUAGGGAGAAUCUUCCUAACAGUACAAACAUGUGGAAGACAGCCUUCUUCUUCAACAAGACUCCUUAAAAGUAAAUUGGACAAACACCUAUGAAUAAUGACCUGAGUCUCUCUAGGUAGUGGAGAUGGGCUCUUGAUGUCCUUUCCAGUUGCAUUUGUUAUGAGCUGAUAUCUAUAAGAUCUACUGCAAAGACACAAAAUGAGACAGCUUUUAUAAGAGACUACUGAAAUGUGCAAGGUACAGCUUUCUCUCUGCUAGUGCUGAGGUAAAUGCUGAAAAACUACUUUGAAAUCAUGGGAGUUACAGUGGGGUUAUGUGAUGUAAAUGAGAAUCUAGCCCCUAAUUGCCUCCAUAAGGCAAUAGUGAUCCUUAAAAGCACAGUGGAAUCACUGGGACACCACACUUCUGCUUUUUAAAAGGGCUCACAAUAUUUGCAGAAUGAUAUACUCAGUCUUGAAAAAUGCCUUUUUUGAAGGUAUAGGAUCAGGCAUGCUAUGAGAAGGAGUAUUGGAUGCAGUGAUCCGAACUUCUGAGUCUUUCAGGGGUGCCUAUGUUCAGUACAUGUGAACAGGAAUCCAACAACAGAGAUGAGUUGCACAAGCUUAUGAAUCAUAAUCAUAGCAUGAAUCAUUAUAUCAGGUACAUCUCCCCAGGCUGUUCCUCAGGUGAGGCCAUCUCAUAUCAGAGGUUCUAUAGGUUUCAAAGCCCAGCUACUUAUUGUCACAAAAAGUUUUAAAAAAUGUCUUUGUGACUGUGCUGCUCACAGCUGGGUUGUUAGAGUACAGUGUGUGGAUUCAGCUUUAUGGGAUGAGCUACCCCUGGAGUGUUUUCAUUUAUAGCUACAAUUCUGUGCCAAGCUGUCUUUCAUAUCAUAUAUCUCCUAAACUUUCUUACUUCGUCAUUUUCUUCCCCAAGGAUAAAAUCAGAGGUUACAAAACCAGAACAAUAAUACUGAACGUUCAGUGGGUACAUAAUAACAAACACAGAAAACAAAGAUCGCAAUAGCCAAGAUAACCAGAACACUUUUAAUUUCUAGUUACAUGUUCCCAUGAAACAAGAGUUCUUUUUUCUCAUUCAAACAGAUGUUGAACAAACAAACUAUUUAUCACUGAAUUAAUUGUGUUCUGAAGGCAGUCUGUUAGGCAGAAAUACAGCUACACCCAGUACUUUAAAAUACAUCUAUAGAUGAAAAUGGCAUGGUCCCAAAGCCACUUGUUGUUGUACUUCUUGCUAUAUUUGCAGUUUUUCCAUGUUUUAACUGCUGUUGGCUGGCUGUGCAAGGGCCUUAGGAGCCCACCACUGGGAGGGUACACAAUUCCCCAAGUGUUAGAGCCCUCAUAGGGGGUUUUAGACCUUAAGGACCACACUCUGUUAAGGAGCAGCUCUGUUUUUGCUGUUCUCUGGCACUGGGAGUGGUGGAGAAAAAAGGUACCUUAUUUAAGUGACUAAAUAUCUAUCACAAGUAAUACAUUUGCUGGUGUGCCAGGAUCCACAGCAUAGUGGAUCCACAGCUCAUAUUUAUCAACCAACUGCUUCUCCAGGGAAUGUUGUGUUGAAGAUUAUACCUUAAAGAAGUUAACUGUGCAACAGAUGGCUGUAGGGUGUCCAACAUUAACACCUCCCAGACAGGUAGUGAGGUGUCCACUCACUCUGCAAUCCAAGUAGAAGACAUGCUACUGGAUGUGGCUGUUGCCAGUGACCUGGUUAUUCCAAACAGAAACACCCACUGAUCCUUGGGAGACCAACAGAACUGCAAGAUGGAGGUCAGUGACACUGGUAAUAAAACAAAUAAAACAUUUCUGUAUUCUUGGUGAGAAUACUCACUACCUUCACACAGACAACUCAGAGAAAGAAAAUGCUAUUGGGCUGUCCUCCUAUCUUUAAACAUUUAGCUCUUGAAAAUUCUUUGGUAUUGCUCCAGCUCUUCAAAUAUCUCCUUAACGUUUACAGAAGGAGAUCUGUUAUGGAUGUUCAGCAGCACUGCUUGCUAGAACUGCUAGUCACUAAAUGACCAAGAAAAUGGCAGAGGCUGUGCCCAGUACCCCUUGUGUUGAGCAUAAAUCAACCCAACCAAACCUGCAGGAUUGUGUGGAAGCAGUGAUACGUGUAGGUAGACUUGCCAGUUUUGUGUAUCUGCUUCUGUGUGUCUUGAGUAGAAGUACAGCAGUUUGUCAUUUUCUGUUCUACAGCUUUCAGCUGCAUGAGUAAACACUUUAAAUUUGAAAUUCUCCCAGAUCUCUGCGGGUGAUGUGAAAUCUCCAAUUAUGUAUGUCAUAUCUCUUUCUUGGCAGGGGUUCAACUCAGCAUCUCCAAGUGAGUGUUGAUGAGGUAUGCAGACUCAUUAGAUGUUUCUGUAUUUCCAUUCUUCUGGGAUGCAGAUGCCCAUGAAAGAAGGCACAAGGCUGAGCCAGAGCAAGUAUUCGAACCACUGUCCUUGGGCCAUUUUAGUUUUACCAUCUGGAAAACGAUUGCAUCCAUUUUAAAUAUCAAAUGCUGUGUUAUUAACCUUUUAAAAAUAUAUAUUUUUUCAUUUAUAGGUGGAGAUAUUAGUUUAAACAUUGGCAAAAAUUGGUGCAUGCCCUGUCGCAAAUAGAGUACCAAUGGAGCCAGGCGUGGAAUUUUCCCUGAGGGCCACCAGUGCCUUUUGGCAGAGCCACCUUCUCAAAGGAUGCAAUAUGCAGUUGCCAACUGCACAUUCUUCUAUUUGUUAGACCAUCUUCAAGCACUUAUGUUGAAUAUUUCAGAAUCAGAAGUGGGGUUGAAUUUCCGUUCUUGGUUUCUGAAAAUCUCAGAGCUCUAGCAAGCUGUAAGUGAUCUGUUGCUUUGAAAACACACUCAAUGCUAUCUUUAACCUAACUUAUUGUAAUAGCUUACCAGUAGGUUCAGGCUGGAAAAGACAUUGCCAAUAGUCAAAAUGAAAAAAUCUGCACAUGCAGUAUUGGUGUAACUUGGGUAAUGCCUAGAGAGCCUGGCAGGUCUGAGAAUCAGGUUACAUUUUCUUUUUUUUUAAAUUCUCUUUCUGCUUUUGCCAAAAAACAGCAGUACUCCUCCACAUGCUGUAUUGGAUUUUAUCUGUUUUUAUUAGUGUGGUCAGUUUUUGUGCAAGUCUUUCCAUACGUGCAAUUAAGCACAGAAAAUAAAGGAGAUAGAAAGAUCAAAUGACUAUGCCAUUAAAUUAUUUAUUCUUUUAUUACUUCCAGCAGGGUACAUAAAGCUUAUGAUUUUCUUCAUCAUUUUCUUCAGAAGGAGUAAGAUGCACAAACAGAAGAGGUUCACAGAUAAUUUGAAAUUGAAAAUUCCACUUUUUUAGCUUUCUUGGGAAAUGCUACUAGUUCAGAGAAAAUGGGCAUUCAGGCACAAUCCGUUUUCACUGGUGGUUCCCAAACCAUCUUUUUACAGAGUCCCAAAGCCACAGGAAUGUACUAAGUUUCCUUUCAAGCUUCCACAUGAUCUUCAAGCAUUUCAGUGAGUCCUGGGAAGGUUUCUGAUACAAAAUUAGAUAAAUUAAAUCCCUUAAUUAAUAAAAUAACUUGCUAUUCAGUAACCUAAAGAUCAUUAAAAAUUUUUCUUUUAAAUAUAAUUAUAGAAAAGAUUUAUCAAAGAAAACAGGGAGAAAACAGAAAGAUUCAGAGGAAGCAUGAGAUUUCAGAAGGAGCGUGAGAAAACAGUGAGACAACAAGGAGGAGCAGGUACAUGAAUGUCUUCUCAUAGCAUGUGUUUUCCAAAGCCCAGGUGAAUGUUAUGCUCUGGGCCUGAAGUUUUAAUCUCUUCUUUGAAUCUCUAGAGCUACAAAACAUCAACUGCUAUAAAUUUAAUUUAUCUGUGUAUUAAAAUUAGGUUUACAGUAUUUUGCAUGAUUUGUAUUUAAGAGUUUGUAAGGAUUUUUAAGAUUGCUUCGUGUAAAACCUUUAGUGUCAGAAGAGGAACCAUGACGCUUUGAGUUAUCUAGAACUUUCUGAUGUAAUUGCAAAUUUGAGGGUGACAGUUUGCCACUUGGUUAUAAAGUUUAAAAAGAAAAAGUCUUCAUUUGUUUUCAUUACUUCUCCGUGUAACAAAAUACUUAUUCUGGAAAUAUCAUUAAUAUGAGUUAAAAAGAAAUGUUACCCAUAAGAGAAGUUUCAUCAUUGCAUUCAAUUUUCUCAGUGGAAAAUAGUAGGUUUUUAAUGUAAUUGAAUGUCAGAGUCCUGCAGAUGUAAUUGUCUUGCCUUUUAAAAGAAAAACUUAAUUAAAUAGAUGUGACACUCCCAUGAUUAGCUCUUCUCCUUUCUGGAUGACUGCUGUUCCACCUCUCUUCAGUGCAGAACUGAUGAGUGGAAAAAAACAAGAAAAAGGGAAAUGAAAGAAAUUAAAAGCACCCCAAAAUUUCUGGCUCUGUGUCCUGUUGAGCAAAUACUGUGUUCAUAAAUAGAAUGCCUGACCGCUAUACUCUGGCACUGCCUUGCCAUGCAGAAGGUAUUCAGAAACAGAGGAAGCCCAGAAGAACGAUGGGGGCGGAGAGGAGAGUGAGAAUUCCAGACCUAGUAACUUUGGAAAAUUUGAUUCAAACCUGAACUGCAUUAAAGUUUCCGAGUUUCUCUCCUGAAAUUUGGAAAAGCAACACUGUACAAUUUCUCCCAUGUUUUAAAACUUGACUUUUUGAGCUUGGAGAGGUGAUAAAGCAGCUUGAUUCAGAGUUAGUUCUAGAGAGCUCCUGCAACUUAGGUGUGCAUGCUGCUGAGUACUGUAAUAAAGCCAACAGAUUUACACCUCCAAGAGACUGACCCCAUUGCACGGUCUUUGGAAACAAAGCAUUUUCGGACUGGGAAAAUCAUUGUAAGCCAACUAUACUG